GGAGAUGUGGAAUGAUCCGAAUCGAGUGCAUAUGAAUGCCUCGAUUGAACUGAGUACGAGGGAUCUAGAAGCCUCGAAUCGUAUAGCGCGCACGCUGACAGCUUAUUCUGUACCGCGCGGUGUUCCCUUUGUCCUUUGCCAAAGGGAAGACUUCACUUUUGAAGAUGUCGAGGAAGCGCAAGAGCCGCCUACUGAACGAGAGAUAGAAGGUGGUCAGAGACGUUCAGUCAUAUACCAUGAUGCUGCCCCUCUAUACAUGCG
rnacentral:lncRNA from 1 species